UGCAGUCGCACGGACCUUUCGGGGUGAGUGGCGGACGGGUGAGUAUCGCGUAGGGAUCUAUCCACGGGUGGGGGAUAACAUCGGGAAACUGGUGCUAAUACCGCAUGAUACCUGAGGGUCAAAGGCGCAAGUCGCCUGUGGAGGAGCCUGCGUUCGAUUAGCUUGUUGGUGGGGUAAAGGCCUACCAAGGCGAUGAUCGAUAGCUGGUCUGAGAGGAUGAUCAGCCACACUGGGACUGAGACACGGCCCAGACUCCUACGGGAGGCAGCAGUGGGGAAUAUUGGACAAUGGGCGAAAGCCUGAUCCAGCAAUGCCGCGUGUGUGAAGAAGGUCUUCGGAUUGUAAAGCACUUUCGACGGGGACGAUGAUGACGGUACCCGUAGAAGAAGCCCCGGCUAACUUCGUGCCAGCAGCCGCGGUAAUACGAAGGGGGCUAGCGUUGCUCGGAAUGACUGGGCGUAAAGGGCGCGUAGGCGGUUUACACAGUCAGAUGUGAAAUUCCAGGGCUUAACCUUGGGGCUGCAUUUGAUACGUGUAGACUAGAGUGUGAGAGAGGGUUGUGGAAUUCCCAGUGUAGAGGUGAAAUUCGUAGAUAUUGGGAAGAACACCGGUGGCGAAGGCGGCAACCUGGCUCAUUACUGACGCUGAGGCGCGAAAGCGUGGGGAGCAAACAGGAUUAGAUA
rnacentral:rRNA from 1 species